rnacentral:rRNA from 1 species
GACGAACGCUGGCGGCGUGCUUAACACAUGCAAGUCGAACGGAAAGGCCCUGCUUUUGUGGGGUGCUCGAGUGGCGAACGGGUGAGUAACACGUGAGUAACCUGCCCUUGACUUUGGGAUAACUUCAGGAAACUGGGGCUAAUACCGGAUAGGAGCUCCUGCUGCAUGGUGGGGGUUGGAAAGUUUCGGCGGUUGGGGAUGGACCCGCGGCUUAUCAGGUUGUUGGUGGGGUAGUGGCUUACCAAGGCUUUGACGGGUAGCCGGCGUGAGAGGGUGACCGGCCACAUUGGGACUGAGAUACGGCCAAGACUCGUACGGGAGGCAGCAGUGGGGAAUAUUGCACAAUGGGCGGAAGCAUGAUGCAGCAACGCCGCGUGCGGGAUGACGGCCUUCGGGUUGUAAACCGCUUUCGCCUGUGACGAAGCGUGAGUGACGGUAAUGGGUAAAGAAGCACCGGCUAACUACGUGCCAGCCGCCGCAGUAAGAC